rnacentral:rRNA from 1 species
GUGAGGAAUUUUCCGCAAUGGGCGAAAGCCUGACGGAGCAAUGCCGCGUGAAGGAUGAAGGCCUAUGGGUUGUAAACUUCUUUUCUCAGAAAAGAAUUAUGACGGUAUCUGAGGAAUAAGCAUCGGCUAACUCUGUGUCAGCAGCCGCGGUAAGACAGAGGAUGCAAGCGUUAUCCGGAAUGAUUGGGCGUAAAGCGUCUGUAGGUUGUUUAAAAAGUAUUCUGUCAAAGAUUAGGGCUUAACCCUAGAUAGGCAGAAUAAACUUUUAAGCUAGAGUUUGGUAGAGGCAGAGGGAAUUCCCGGUGGAGCGGUGAAAUGCGUAGAUAUCGGGAGGAACACCAAAGGCGAAGGCACUCUGCUGGGCCAAUACUAACACUGAGAGACGAAAGCGAGGGGAGCAAAUGGGAUUAGAAACCCGGGUAGUCC